AAUAAGUGUAGUUUUACACUAUUUAUGUUUAACGUUUGACCGUUCAUCUUAUUUGAAAUUUUUUUACGAUUAAUAUUUUUAUUGUUACUAGAUGAUAAAACAUGAAUAGUACUUUAUGUGUGACUAACUUUUUUUUAAUUUUCUCAUAAAUUUUUCAAAUAAGACGGACGGUCAAACUUUGGACACAGAUUCCCACGACUGCACUUAUU
rnacentral:pre_miRNA from 1 species